rnacentral:rRNA from 1 species
UACGGGGGGGGCAAGCGUUGUUCGGAAUUACUGGGCGUAAAGGGCUCGUAGGCGGCCAACUAAGUCGGAUGUGAAAUCCCCAGGCUUAACCUGGGAACUGCAUCCGAUACUGGAUGGCUUGAAUCCGGGAGAGGGAUGCAGAAUUCCAGGUGUAGCGGUGAAAUGCGUAGAUAUCUGGAGGAAUACCGGUGGCGAAGGCGGCAUCCUGGACCGGUAUUGACGCUGAGUGAGCGAAAGCCAGGGGAGCAAACGGG